GACGAACCGUGCGAACGUUAUUCGGAAUCACUGGGCUUAAAGCGCGUGUAGGCGGGACGGCACGUCUGUCGCUGAAAUCCCCCGGCUUAACCGGGGAACUGGCGGAGAUACGACCGUCCUGGAGGGGCGUAGGGGGACCUGGAACUUCCGGUGGAGCGGUGAAAUGCGUAGAGAUCGAGAGGAACACUAGUGGCGAAGGCGGUUCUCUGGGCAUUACCUGACGCUGAGGAGCGAAAGUGUGGGGAGCGAACAGG
rnacentral:rRNA from 1 species